CGAAACUAUUUUGACGGCGUCCUAUUUGAUAAAUAGGAUGCCUACUAAAGUACCAAACACCCCUUGAGUUCCUAAAAGACAUUUUUCCCAACACUAGAUUACAUUCGGACCUUCCCAUCAAAGUUUUUGGAUGUACUGUGUAUGUUCAUAUACCUACUCAAUUUCACUCAAAACUUGAUCCUCGAGCUGUCAAAUGUGUUUUCUUGGGUUAUACCUCUCAUAAAAAAUGCUAUAAGUGUUAUGAUCCUCUCCCAAAAAAGAUUCACGUGAGUAUGGAUGUCUCCUUUGUUGAAAACAAACCCUAUUUUACCAAAAAAUCCCUUCAGGGGGAGAAACACGAAGCUGAAGACAAUUUUUGAAAUGUUUUUGUCCCCCUUCCAAAUGCAAUCUGUCUUACUCAUGAACCACAUGUUUAUAAUAAUGGUCACUUAGGAGAUUCUGGUUCUUUGAUGCCAAGUAAAGGGGUUUCUCGGGCAGGGGGAGAAUUACUACAAACUGAUCAUCAUGAUCUAAAUUCUGAGCUUCAGGUUUAUACCAGGAAGGGAUUUCAUCAAAAAAACAAAGACUUGAAUGUCAAUUCUGCACAAAACCAGUCUGAAAACCCGAGAAAUGGCACUGUAAGUUUAAGAAAUCCCAUUUCAACUUCUAGUCCACCUCCUUCUACUUUACCUAAUAAUUCCCAAAUUGAUUCUUCAACUAUUUCCAAUCAUUGACCUACUAUUUCUGAUCUUGAUAUUCCUAUAGCAAUUAGGAAAGGUGUCAAAAGUUGCACUAAAUAUCCUAUUGCUAAAUACCUCUCCUACCACAGACUAUCUAAGAAUCAUAAGGCUUUCACAUCUAGGAUUUCACAUUUGUUUGUGCCAAGGAAUAUAUAGGAAGCUUAGGAUGAUCCAAAUUGGAAAUUAGCAGUUAUAGAGGAGAUGAAUGCUCUAAGGAGAAGUGGCACUUGGGAGAUAGUUAACUUGCCCAGAGACAAAAAAUAGUAGGGUGUAAAUGGGUGUUUACAAUAAAAUGUAAGGCUGACCGGAGUGUUGAUAGAUACAAAGCCAGACUGGUGGCUAAAGGUUUCACCCAGACUUAUGGGAUUGAUUAUCAAGAGACCUUUGCUCCUGUGACAAAAAUAAACUCUAUUAGAGUCAUGUUAUCUUUUGCAGUAAAUUCAAAUUGACCUCUACACCAACUUGAUGUCAAAAAUAUGUUUCUUAAUGGUGAUCUUGAAGAGGAGGUCUUUAUGAGUUUGCCAUCGGGAUUUGAAAAUAAACUUGGGAGUGACAAAGUAUGUAGACUGAGGAAAUCCCUGUAUGGUCUCAAACAGUCCCCAAGAGCAUGGUUCAAACAAUUUGGAAAGGCAGUUACUAGUUAUGGCUUCCUUCAAAGUUAGGCAGAUCACACUAUAUUUUAUAAACACUCAAAGGAUGGUAAAGUUGCAAUUUUGAUUGUUUAUGUUGAUAACAUUAUUUUAACUGGUAAUAAUGAGACAGAGUUAGCAAUCCUCAAGCAGAAACUUGCAAAGGAGUUCCAAAUCAAGGAUUUGGGGAUCCUAAAAUACUUGACCUUCUUGGAGAAAUAGGAUUACUCGGCUGCAAGGUGUCAGAAACUCCCAUUGAGCAUAAUGUGAAACUAUAUGUUGCCAAAGCUGAAGAAGUAAAGGAUAGGGAACAAUAUCAAAGACUUGUGGGCAGAUUAAUCUACUUGUCUCAUACGCGACCUGACAUUGCUUUUGUAGUAAGUUUGGUGAGUCAAUUUAUGCACUCACCAGGGCCAGAGCAUUUUAAAGCGGUCUACAGAAUCCUAAGAUAUCUGAAAGGGACUCCUGGAAUAGGCUUACUGUUCAAGAAACAUGGCCACCUACAAGUUGAGAUCUACACUGAUGCAGAUUGGGCAGGAAGUGUUAAUGAUAGGAGAUCUACUUCAGGCUACUGUUCUUUUGUUGGGGGAAACCUAGUCACCUAGCGAAGCAAAAAACAAAAUGUGGUGGCUAGAAGUAGUGCUGAAGCAGAGUUCAGAGCUGUUGCUCAUGGCAUCUGUGAGGGAAUGUGGAUCAAAAGGUUACUUGAAGAGAUGAAAUUUCCUCAAUCAAAACCUAUUAAAGUCUAUUGUGACAACAAAACUGCCAUCUCUAUUGCUCAUAAUCCGGUGUUGCAUGAUCAUACAAAACAUAUAGAAAUGGACAAACAUUUCAUCAAAGAGAAGCUCGAUGCUGGAAUAAUAUGCAUGUCAUAUCUUCCAACAACUGAACAAAUUGCUGAUGUUCUAACUAAGGGUCUUCACAAGAAGCAAUUUGAUAAACUUAUUGGCAAGCUAGCUAUGGAAGACAUCUACAAGCCAGCUUUAUGGGGAGUGCUGGAAAUAUGCUCAAAUUAAGGAAGAUUUGUCCUUGAUCCUAGAAUAUUCUAGGAUUUAAGUUUUAUGUAAAUAUAGUAAGUCAAGGAUGUAGAUUAGGAUGCUGUUUAUUUUCUUCCUUUUUUGUUUAUAAUCCUCCCCUUAAAAGAGGAUAUUGUUCUUGCUCAUUGUAAUCAAUUAAGACAAAUUGUCUUUGAUUAUUUCUAAGAGGUGGAUGCUCGAAGCGGUAGUGAUGAAGCCAAAUGUCACUACUAGAAGACUGAGAAGUGCAGGCUAAUUUAGGCUGAAAUCUGGAUUGAAUGUGAUGAGGCUGCAAGGUCUCAUUUCUCAAAACAUACAGCCCAUGUUUCUCCUCAGCAGCUCCGAUCAUCCUCCCUGUAGCCAUUUCCUGAAACUCACAAGAAUAAGGAGAGAAAAUGAUUUGACAAUUUAAAUCCUUAGUGAGUUGAUGAACUGAAAUCAAGUUAGUGGACAAAUUAGGAACAUGCAAGACUCUUUGAACAGAAAGUUUAGGACUAAGAGUGACUUGUCCCUAACCUUUGAUAGGAAUAGAAGUCUCAUUAGCAAUAAUAAUUUGUUUAGGUGUCACAAGAGGCUGAUAGGUAUCAAAAACAUUUGGAUUAGAGGACAUCUGUAGCUCCUAAAUCUAGAAUCCAUAUAUCAUUCCUAUUGGUUUUAGAGGCUGUUAAAGAACUCAAAUGAAAACUAUUACCUGGUUGAUUACCUUGCUAGGCAAUAGAGCAUGAUCCAUCCUGAAAAGUUUUUAAGAACAUCUUGAGUUUGCUAACUUCAUCAGCUUUCAACUGAUUCUGCUCCAGCUCGGGUGCUGCCUUGAUUUUUUCCACCGGCUCUUCUUGCCUAUUUGAAAAAUAGGCCUGAUUUCGAGAGGUCAUAUUCUUGAAGCCCCCUAGUUUCUACAACACAGCCUCCUUCCCAUGCAACUUAAAACAUGUCUCUCGAGUAUGUCUCGACCUCUUGCAAUGGGAGCACCAUAAUCCUUUUGUUCUAUGCGUUUUGUUCUCUCCAUCAGUCCACAUACCUUCCUUUCCAUGCAGCCUACCCUAGACAUUGCCUCUUCCUUGCAGUGGUUUAAAUUUGGACCCUACUCCUUUGUUUGUGAACAUUGUUGAUCCUUCAGAAGUCAUAUCACCCAGCAUUGUUGUCCUACUAUUUUCUUCACUUCGAACAACUGAAAACACUUUAUUAAGGGAUGUAAGUUUUUUCCUUCCAAGAAUUUGCACUCAAACUUGAUCAUACUCAUUAUUAAGUCCGGCCAAGAAUUCUACAACUCUAUCCCUUUCAAAAAUUGAAUGAAGAGUGGCUGCAUCUUUCCCACAUUCCAUUUUAAUGUUCUAGUAGUGGUCAAGUUCUAACCAAAAACCAUUCAUUUUGCUGUAAUAUUCAGUGAUUGUUGAGACUCCUUGCUUAGUACCAUGUAACUUCAUCUUAAUCUCGUAAAUAAUUGAUGCAUCUUGAAUCUUAAAGUAGGUACGCCUAACCGUUUCCCAUAUAUCUUUAGUAGAGGACAAGAACAUGUAAUUUUAACUAACUUCUGGUUGCAUGGCAUUAAAAUGGAAUGUGGGAAAUUGUGUAAUCCUUUAUAUCCAUAGCCAUGCCAUGAUCGUGGAAUCCUUUAUAUCCCAAACAAAUUGCACUGCCGUCUCUUCUUCUUUCCUUUCCUUCAAUGUCAACAAUAUGUGCUAGACCUUUUAAUUGAAAUAGGAAUGCUUGGCAACAAGGCAGCUGAGACACCCAUUGAACCAAACAAUAGAAUUGGGGAGUGUUAGAAGUCAACGAAUAGAUUGUUCUUUCCUAUGGUGGAUUCUUUCCUAAGUGUGUUGUGUCUUGCUUUCCUGCUGAUUACAUGCUGCUUAUUAUUCUGAUUUGUUUCCUUGUAUUCUUACUUUGAUUUGUUUCCUUGUAUUUUAUCUUUGUAACAUCUUUCCUUAUUGUACAUAUUUCCUAAGGUAGUUUAGGAAGCUUUCUCUCAUUAGAAAGCUUCCUAUUAAGGUUACUUGACAUGUAUAAAUGCUGUACUCUACGAUUAUAGAAAAUAGAUUGGAAUUCUGUUUGGUUCUUUCUUUUAACAAGUAUCAUUGAUAUUGUAAUUUUAGCAAUAUCAAUAUCAUUAGUGAGCAUAACUGAUAUUGUAAUUUUUGUAAUUUUAUAGCAAGUAUCAUUGAUAUUGUAAAGCAGCGGCUUCUAAUGAUUGUCCAUGCGUGUUAGGAGGGAUUUCACGGUAUCUUUUUGUGCAAUGUUUUUAACACAUUUCAUGCAUUACAAUUAACAAUAACAAUCACAAGCCUUAAUCCCACUAGGUGGGGUCUGCCAGCUUGCAUUACAUUUACUGGAAAUAAAUUAUUUUUAUUUGUGCCUGCUGAUUGUUUUCUGGAAAUAAAUCCUUUGUAUUUCUUCUAGCUUUUCUAUUACUUCAUUUGAUUAUUCUUAUCACAGAUAGAGAGUAUUUUUAAUAUCAUUAUUUGUACUAUAAGGAUUUAUGAAGCUAGGUUUACCUAGAAGGAAUAGUCUGAUAAGACCUUAACUAUUGUGGGACCAUCGUGAUAUUCAUGACAACAAGCCAACUGGCGGAGAUUGGUGGGUUGGAAAAGUCAAUUUUGUGGAGAUACGAUCAUAUUGGCAUAUUUUGAGAAGUUUUGAUAGCAUGUGGAGUUUUUUGUAUUGUGCUUGCAGGCUAUGAUAAUUGUUGCUUGGAACAGUUCGGGCCAACCUAGCUCAAUCUUCAGUUCUGAUGUUUCCAAGAAAGUGCUUUCUGUCUUUAUCACCGCUGCCACACUGAAAGUUGGGCAAGGCAUUCGACCAUGAAAGAAGAAGCUGAAAUGUAGAAGAAGUUCGGUCCGUGAGUUUAACUCAGCAAUGAGUACUCCCGCAAUCGACCUAUUCGUCGUUGCCUCCGCCUUUGGUUGCCGCCGCUGCCUCCGCCUUCGGUUGCCGCCGCCUCCAGCUCGAUUGGGCUUCCCCUCCGGGUCCACUGCUGCCAGAUUCGCCUCAAAGAAGGAUCAAAUGAUGUAGCUGAGGUGAGAUAAUCCUCCAGAUAAAAUGACUGAUAAAGAUAUCUUAGAAAAUGUCUUUGGACGACAAUCUAUUUGUUUGUUUGGUUGGGGGCGAUCUCCUAGUACUUCCAAGAUAACAUGCACUAGUGAAAAGUCUAGUCGUCCAAUAUAUAAUCAAUUGGUUGAAGAUUUAAGACAAGUGUCUUUUUCGAGAGCUUCAAAGAGAUGUAAACAUGUUGUGACAAGUGUUGAUUGAUAAGAAUAUUAUACCUCUUCUGUCUACUCCACAUGUACCAUCGGAUCAUAAUUCAGGACGAUCCCGACUCAACCCUUCUCGCCCUGACCUAUUCAGCUCCAACCAUUCUCUCCAUUCUACUGAAUAGUAGUUUGGUGACGAGAUUUAAUAAUUUUUUUUUUUCAUAUAUGUUUGAACCUUUUAGGCAACUUCAUUAUUUUAUGCUUAUUUUGUGACUUUAUGACAUUUUUGGU